AAUCCAACAUUCUACCAAAAAGCGUUCCUACAAAGGCAACUCUCUCUAAACCGUUUUUUGCCCAUGAGGUAUGGAAAUCGUCUAUUAGAAUGGAGAGUAAUUGAAAGGAAAAAUUACCUUUUUUGGUUUUUUUUUUUCCUUUCUUCUCGUCGGUCUUGGGUGCAGUGUCAUUCCUUUCUCCGCGUUCCCUCUCUCUCCAGAGUUAAAGAGCGCGGAGGUAGGCUCUGAGUGGGAUUGCAAUGAUUGGCGGGACAUUCAUUCAGAUGUAUAAAUGUUCGUUGAACGUUCACGAAUUUUUUUUAUUUUUAUUUUAUUUUAUUUAUUUAUUUUUUUUUUCGGAAGCAGGGCAGAAUGGAAGGAAAGGAUGGUCAUUUAUUUUUCCCUUCCCCCUUAGAUAUAAAUAAUCAGACAAGCAAAAAGAAAGUAUAUCGGUCAUUAUUCAAACUGUCAAUAAAAGUACAUUGAGAAAGAAUACAUACAUGCCCUGGGGAAUCAAGCAAUCGAAUAAUGUUAUCUCUAAUUUUACCUCCUCGCCACCAUUUACCAUAGUUGAGAUUGUAAACAUCAAGUUUCUCGCUUCCUCCUUCUCUCCAUCCUUUCCCCUUGGCUGAUCGAGUGCGUAUUUCCAACUUUGUGAUUUUUCUUUCCACUUCACUCCCCCAACAUAGGUGAAGGAGGCCCCCUGCAUUAAAAGCCGCCUUUCCCAGCCGGAUUGUAAUCCCAUAGAAAAAUAACAACGGCAGCCAGCGUUAAUUAUAAAAAAAAGUAGUAAACAAAAAUUAUAUAGGAAACAAAAAAAGGUGGGGGAAGGCAGAAAAGCAAAGAAGCAAAAAAUUUUCUCGGCGAGAAAUGAGAUGAGACCAAACGACGGUCCUCUCUCUCUCUCUCUCUCUCUCUCCAACCGUUAACAAACAGCCAGAUGUCCAGCUCAGCUCUCCCAACCAACCGCCAACCGGCGCCCAAUAUUCCCAAAACAAACACAGC
rnacentral:sRNA from 2 species